rnacentral:rRNA from 1 species
AUUCGCCCUUAGAGUUUGAUCCUGGCUCAGGACGAACGCUGGCGGCGUGCUUAACACAUGCAAGUCGAGCGAUGAAGCUUCUUCGGAAGUGGAUUAGCGGCGGACGGGUGAGUAACACGUGGGUAACCUGCCUUGUAGAGAGGAAUAGCCAUUCGAAAGGAUGAUUAAUACCUCAUAAUAUUGUAGCUUCGCAUGGAGCAACAAUCAAAGGAGCAAUCCGCUACAAGAUGGACCCGCGGCGCAUUAGCUAGUUGGUGAGGUAACGGUUCACCAAGGCGACGAUGCGUAGCCGACCUGAGAGGGUGAUCGGCCACAUUGGGACUGAGACACGGCCCAGACUCCUACGGGAGGCAGCAGUGGGGAAUAUUGCACAAUGGGGGAAACCCUGAUGCAGCAACGCCGCGUGAGUGAUGACGGUCUUCGGAUUGUAAAGCUCUGUCUUCAGGGACGAUAAUGACGGUACCUGAGGAGGAAGCCACGGCUAACUACGUGCCAGCAGCCGCGGUAAUACGUAGGUGGCAAGCGUUGUCCGGAUUUACUGGGCGUAAAAGGAGCGUAGGCGGACUUUUAAGUGGGAUGUGAAAUACCCGGGCUCAACCUGGGUGCUGCAUUCCAAACUGGAAGUCUAGAGUACAGGAGGGGAAAGCGGAAUUCCUAGUGUAGCGGUGAAAUGCGUAGAGAUUAGGAAGAACACCGGUGGCGAAGGCGGCUUUCUGGACUGUAACUGACGCUGAGGCUCGAAAGCGUGGGUAGCGAACAGGAUCAGAUACCCUGGUAGUCCGCACAGUAAACGAUGAAUGCUCGUCCUUGGCGACAGACAGUCAGGGACCAAGCGAAAGCAUUAAGCAUUCCACCUGGGGAGUACGCCGGCAACGGUGAAACUCAAAGGAAUUGACGGGGGCCCGCACAAGCGGAGGAACAUGUGGUUUAAUUCGAUGAUACGCGAGGAACCUUACCCGGGCUCGAACGGCAGCUGAAUUGAUCAGAGAUGGUCAAGUCUUCGGACAGUUGUCGAGGUGCUGCAUGGUUGUCGUCAGCUCGUGCCGUGAGGUGUCGGCUUAAGUGCCAUAACGAGCGCAACCCCCAUCUUUAGUUGCCACCGGGUCAUGCCGGGCACUCUGGAGAGACUGCCGGCGCAAGCUGUGAGGAAGGCGGGGAUGACGUCAAAUCAGCACGGCCCUUACGUCCGGGGCGACACACGUGUUACAAUGGCGGGGCUACAGAGGGAAGCCAGGUGGCGACACCGAGCGGAUCCCGAAAACCCGUCUCAGUUCGGAUCGGAGUCUGCAACCCGACUCCGUGAAGCUGGAUUCGCUAGUAAUCGCGCAUCAGCCAUGGCGCGGUGAAUACGUUCCCGGGCCUUGUACUCACCGCCCGUCA